rnacentral:tRNA from 1 species
GCGGGUAUAGCUCAGUCGGUCAGAGCGUCACAUUCCCAAUGUGAAGGUCGAAGGUUCGAGUCCCUCUAGCCGCUCUA